GUGCUCGCUUCAGCAUCACAUCUACUAAAACUGGAAGGAUACAGAGAUGAGUGCGGCCUCUGCACAAGGGUGACAUGCAAAUUUGUGAAGCACUCCAUAUUAAA